UACGGGGGGGGGCAAGCGUUGUUCGGAAUUACUGGGCGUAAAGGGCUCGUAGGCGGCCAACUAAGUCGGACGUGAAAUCCCUCGGCUUAACCGGGGAACUGCGUCCGAUACUGGAUGGCUUGAGGUUGGGAGAGGGAUGCGGAAUUCCAGGUGUAGCGGUGAAAUGCGUAGAUAUCUGGAGGAACACCGGUGGCAAAGGCGGCAUCCUGGACCAAUUCUGACGCUGAGUGAGCGAAAGCCAGGGGAGCAAACGGG
rnacentral:rRNA from 1 species